rnacentral:piRNA from 1 species
GACUGUGUUUGUGCUGUGACUC